CACGGAUGCCAGAUUUUGAAA
rnacentral:piRNA from 1 species